UACGUAGGGGGCAAGCGUUGUCCGGAAUCAUUGGGCGUAAAGCGCGUGUAGGCGGUCCGGUAAGUCCGCUGUGAAAGUCGGGGGCUCAACCCUCGGAUGCCGGUGGAUACUGUCGGGCUUGAGUACGGAAGAGGAGAGUGGAAUUCCUGGUGUAGCGGUGAAAUGCGUAGAUAUCAGGAGGAACACCGGUGGUGUAGACGGCUCUCUGGACCGUAACUGACGCUGAGACACGAAAGCGUGGGUAGCAAACAGG
rnacentral:rRNA from 1 species